rnacentral:rRNA from 1 species
GACAGAGGGUGCAAACGUUGUUCGGAAUUACUGGGCGUAAAGCGCGUGUAGGCGGCAAGCCAAGUCGGGUGUGAAAGCCCUGGGCUCAACCCAGGAAGUGCAUUCGAUACUGGCAAGCUAGAGUCCCGGAGAGGAUGGUGGAACUCUCGGUGUAGAGGUGAAAUUCGUAGAUAUCGAGAAGAACACCGGUGGCGAAGGCGGCCAUCUGGACGGUGACUGACGCUGAGACGCGAAGGCGUGGGGAGCGAACGGG